GAAGAAGAAGGAGAACAAGGAGGAGGAGGAGGAGAAGAAGAAGAAAAAGAAGACGAAGGAGGAGGACAAGAAGAACAAGAACAAGAAGAAGAAGAAAGGGGAGGAGGAGGAGAACAAGAAGAAGCCAUAAUGUGUCCAGGUGUGUCCAGGUGUGUCUAGGUGUGUCCAGGUGUGUCGUGGUGUGUCGUGGUGUGUCGUGGUGUGUCCAGGUGUGUCGUGGUGUGUCCUGGUGUGUCGUGGUGUGUCGUGGUGUGUCGUGGUGUGUCCAGGUGUGUCGUGGUGUGUCCAGGUGUGUCGUGGUGUG